rnacentral:rRNA from 1 species
ACGCGAAGAACCUUACCAACCCUUGACAUGUCCAGGACCGGUCGCAGAGAUGUGACCCUCUUUUCGGAGCCUGGAACACAGGUGCUGCAUGGCUGUCGUCAGCUCGUGUCGUGAGGUGUUGGGUUAAGUCCCGCAACGAGCGCAACCCCUACCGCCAGUUGCCAUCAUUCAGUUGGGCACUCUGGUGGAACCGCCGGUGACAAGCCGGAGGAAGGCGGGGAUGACGUCAAGUCCUCAUGGCCCUUAUGGGUUGGGCUACACACGUGCUACAAUGGCGGUGACAGUGGGAAGCGAAGUCGCGAGAUGGAGCCAAUCCCCAAAAGCCGUCUCAGUUCGGAUUGCACUUUGCAACUCGAGUGCAUGAAGUUGGAAUCGCUAGUAAUC